rnacentral:rRNA from 1 species
UACGAAGGGGGCUAGCGUUGCUCGGAAUCACUGGGCGUAAAGCGCACGUAGGCGGAUCUUUAAGUCAGGGGUGAAAUCCUGGAGCUCAACUCCAGAACUGCCUUUGAUACUGGGGAUCUCGAGUCCGGAAGAGGUGAGUGGAACUCCGAGUGUAGAGGUGGAAUUCGUAGAUAUUCGGAAGAACACCAGUGGCGAAGGCGGCUCACUGGUCCGGUACUGACGCUGAGGUGCGAAAGCGUGGGGAGCGAACAGG